GACGAACGCUGGCGGCGUGCUUAACACAUGCAAGUCGAACGGAAAGGCCCUGCUUUUGUGGGGUGCUCGAGUGGCGAACGGGUGAGCAACACGUGAGUAACCUGCCCUUGACUUUGGGAUAACUUCAGGAAACUGGGGCUAAUACCGGAUAGGAGCUCCUGCUGCAUGGUGGGGGUUGGAAAGUUUCGGCGGUUGGGGAUGGACCCGCGGCUUAUCAGCUUGUUGGUGGGGUAGUGGCUUACCAAGGCUUUGACGGGUAGCCGGCCUGAGAGGGUGACCGGCCACAUUGGGACUGAGAUACGGCCCAGACUCCUACGGGAGGCAGCAGUGGGGAAUAUUGCACAAUGGGCGGAAGCCUGAUGCAGCAACGCCGCGUGCGGGAUGACGGCCUUCGGGUUGUAAACCGCUUUCGCCUGUGACGAAGCGUGAGUGACGGUAAUGGGUAAAGAAGCACCAGCUAACUACGUG
rnacentral:rRNA from 1 species